AUUGAACGCUGGCGGCAGGCCUAACACAUGCAAGUCGAACGAGUGGCGGACGGGUGAGUCAUGUCUGGGAAACUGCCUGAUGGAGGGGGAUAACUACUGGAACCGGUAGCUAAUACCGCAUACCAUCAGAUGUGCCCAGAUGGGAUUAGCUUGUUGGUGGGGUAACGGCUCACCAGGGCAACGAUCCCUAGCUGGUCUGAGAGGAUGACCAGCAACACGGGACCUGAGACACGGUCCAGACUCCUACGGGAGGCAGAGGUGGGGAAUAUUGGACAAUGGGCGCAAGCCUGAUGCAGCCAUGCGGCGUGUAGGAAGAGGGCCUUCGGGUUGUAAAGUACUUUCAGCGGGGAGGCGUUACCCGCAGAAGAAGCACCGGCUAACUCCGUGCCAGCAGCCGCGGUAAUAC
rnacentral:rRNA from 1 species